CACUGAAGAAAUUGAUGUCACAGCAAUCUGGCCAAAAUGAUACAACUAUAUUGAAGUAGCCUACUGUAAUGAAGCUGCAGAACAACACAGAGACUCUGAGGACAUCAACACAGAAAAUGAAGGCUCCAAAGAGAUGUCUGUCCAGAUGAGGGUGCAUCAACUUUACCUUUGCUGACAACAGUUAACUUAACUCAAACCAUUUAAGGAAAUCGGUUGCC